rnacentral:SRP_RNA from 1 species
UUCUUUAUUAUUCUGAUUAUAAAGUAGUCCCAGCUAUUCGGGGCGGGGCUGAGGAGGGAGGAUCGCUUGAGCCCAGGAGUUCUGGGCUAUCGCACGCUAUGCCGAUCGGGUGUCCACACUAACUUCAGCAUCAAUAUGGUGACCUCCUGGGAGCGGGGGACCACCAGGUUGCCUAAGGAGGGGUGAACUGUCCCAGGUCGGAAGUGGAGCAGGUCAAAUCUCCCCUGCUGAUCAGUAGUGGGAUCGCGCCUGUGAAUAGCCACUGCACUCCAGCCUGGGCAACAUAGCUAGACGCUGUCUCU